CUCGAGCUGAAUUGUCACUCAACUUUGAUCCUCGUGAUUAAACCUCUCUUUCCGGCAGCUGGCUUCACGGUCUAUUUCUUCCGCACCGCGCCGUCAAGGGGAAUCCCAGCUGGAAGAACCGAAUGGGGGAGUUCCUCCCAACACAUGGAAUUUAAGCCUUUCCCCCAGAGUUACUUUAUGUACUCUAAUCUGAUAGCAGUUAAAUUUUCUUUCUACCUAUUGUCCUUCCACUUAUAGUAAGGGAUAUUUCUGAACUUGUUCAUGUUAAAUUUUAUUCUUUUGUUCAUAGUAGGAUAUUUAUGUUUCUAAAUGGACUUCUCACAGCUGAAGGUCAAUGUGUGUAAAGUUGAGUUUUAUAAAUGUUAAUUAAUUUGAUAUUUAAGGGCACUGUUUCAACUUUUCGCUGAUACCUGGGUUGGAGAAUACACUACUUACUGGAUUUGCCUAUACUGUAAUUAACAGAUGAGUUAUGGGAUGAAGAGCUUUAUAGCUAUUAAUUAAGAGGAACUGACAAGAUUGUGAAAUUGUUUAUACUUGUCAUGAUGAGGGUGAAAAGUUGUUUUCUUAGAGUUUAUUCUUUUCUUUGAAUGUCUUUUCCAAUCCCUUCAUAGCCGCUUUACCAAGCAGUAGUUAGUGGCAUAUUUCUUGAUUGCUCAUUUCCUUACUGUUGAUGGUUGAUUCUAAAGGCAGAAGCUUUCCAUCUCUUCAAUCACUGUCAAUUCUAAGGUUGAUUGUUGUACCUGUUGCCAUUAAUUUGGUCUUCUUUAUAUUAAUUUUGGUCCAUUUUUUAUGUGCUCUUUUAUGUUUAUUACUGUACCAGGGCUUGCAAAUCCUUAACACUUUUGGCUGUCAGGGUAGUAUCAUCAGCACAGCACAGAUUAAUGUUUCUUCUAAUUUUAAAACUAUGCUCAUCUUUUUCCAAUCCUUAAUAUAGGAUUUCCUUAAUAUAUAUCCUAUUUAUUCAUCAUAUAGUUGAGAAUAUGCAGUCUUGUCCCAUUCCUUUGCUAACCAGGAAUCAGCCUAUUUUGCAAUGUUUUGUCCAAACUGUGGCUUCCUGCCUGUAUAUAAGUUUUUCAUGAGGAUAAUGAGAUGUUCUGGGAUUCCCAUUGUCCUGAGAAUUUUCCACAGCUUGACCUGAUUGAACACUUUUCUAUAAAUGGUGAUGUACAUACUGACUUGAGAAUAAGGAAUAAGUUCAGCCUGUAAUAAACCACAAGGUAUCCAUCAACUAGUCCAAGCCAGAAUUGCCACAAUAAAGAAAAUAACAAACUUCAUUUAACACUUAUCCAUUAAAACCAAGUCUUGCCACUGGGAAAAAACAUGAAAAACAUUCUUCAGUUCAGCAGCUGAGAUCACAGAAAUCCAAGUUCUUCCAUUGGCUUUUAAAGCCCAAAACAGAUUUAAAUCCAACUGGGAUCAGUUUAUCUUAUGUGAUCCUGCUUGACAUUUUUCAGUUUAAAGCUCCCUUCAUUGCUUCUUGGAACAGAAAGAGAACUCUGUAAUCAAUAGUCUGUUAAAUAAAAUCAGUAAAUGAAGAAAUACAAUUAAGGAGUUUUGUGUCUCUUUAAUUUGUACAUCCUUACCUUAGAAAGAGUUUUUAAAAUGGUAUAUUGGAUCAUAACUCCCAUACUCCUCAGCCAGCAUGCUUAUUGGUCUUCAAUCAAACUACAUGCUUCAAGAUGUCCAGUUUGGAGGGCAACCAGUUGGGGAAAGGGAGAUGCAGGUGAUACUGGUGGGCUUUUUCCUUAUUGCAUUUUGUGAACCCAGCCAGUGGGGUUUGUUCAUCAGGGUUUACAGUUCAGAGUAUCAUGUGGACACAGUAAAUAAAUAUAUUUAAACCAUUUUUUAAAUAUGCAACAACAAUAUUCUUUGUGAACCUAGGGAGUUAAAGGAUCAUGGUUUAUCAUGAGGGGGGGGGGAAUUCUGAAUUCCAUGCUGAGCAAACCAUCCUCAUUUCUGUCAUUUCAUUUCUAACAAAAGUCUAAUACUCUGAGUAUAAAAAAAUCCAGCUGAUAAUGACACCUGACAGAGGAACACACACUUGGUAAUAUUGGAGUGGUCACUUUGGAACAGCCCUUUGGAAUGGCUAUGUAUUUUGAAAUGUGCAGCAUGAAAGAAGAUGUAGAAAUUGGAAGAAAUUGUUUUAGUCUGUAAAUGAAGGUUUUAAAAAGCAGCCUGAAGAGGAGAGACAACUGCCUCCUCAGAUGAGCCAUGGCUGCGUCCCAACAUCCAGGCACCAAUCUGUUCAUGUUUCUGUUGCAAAACUACUUUACUCCGUGUGUUUUAAUUAGACACCCCAGUUCGAGCGCAACCUGUCAUUCUGAAUGCCUGACAGGAAACCGAAUACUUGAGCUUGUUGGUGCAAGUUCAGCCUAUUUUAAUCAAGUACCUAUUAUUCUUCAGCUGGGGAGAAAAACAGGCAUAAAUAGAAGCUUCUCAGCCAUUAGACCACUAUGCAUAAAUUGUCUAGGGCUGUGGAAGUGUGUGCUCUGCAAACAACACCCAAUAUGAUGGAAAUACCAACAGCCAUUCCCGAAUAGCUGUGCAAGUGUCCUCAAUGCAGUUCAUAGAACCAUCUACAAUGAUAGUUCCAAUGACAAAACUACUACAAUGUCCUAAUUACAACAAUAAAAAAUGGCCAGUUGGAAUUAUCAGCUUUGAUUUGUUUUUGAGAAGAUUUAAAAAUUGCUUUAUAAAAAAGGCGAAGAAGAGACAAUUCUAUUUGGAUAAAAUGCUUUGUCUCACAGGUGCUGGUUUGAUUUUAAAGAAAAUUAAUUUCUAGAGCUGGUUUCUUUUGAGCACAUGCCGAGAGGAGUUUCCUUUAUUUUGCAAAACAAUUCUCUGCAGAGAAUAAUUGAGCACAUAAUGGAAUUGGAUUCCUCCCAGCUUCUCAAGAUUGAUAGUGCCCUUGAGAAACUGGUUCAAGAGAACAGGUCUGGAAGAACACUUGAAGGCAGAUGGAAGAUUGAAGGUUACAUUUAAAAAGGACCACUUGGGGAGGGGAGCAAGGGGGGUGAAUUUAAAAAAAGUCAGGAUGGCAGCUACGACUAUAUCACUGCAACAUUUUUUCAUAUGUGUUGCACAUGCUGCGUUUCAGUUGCAUAGUCUUAGCCAACCAUUGUGAUCUUUUUUUACUUCCUGCUACAGAUGCCUCUUCUCCAAAGUCUCUGAAUUACUGUUUCAUACGGUGAUGCCUGGAAAAAUAAAUUAUAAACAUUUUUGUAAUACCUGUGAUUUGUCAAUUUGUUAGGUUUAUUAUAAUUACUUGUAACUGGUAUUUGUCUUUUAUUGGUAGGUUUACUGAUAACUUUCCUGCUUGUUAAUGUUGUUUAGUUUGUGCUUAUUGCUUCUUUAUUUCAUUAUAUUGUACUGCUAGCUACUCUGGACACCAUGUGGUAGAAUGGCAGGACACAAAUUUAAUACAGAUAAACACCUUUGAAGAAUGAUGCUCUUAAUUCAUUGUGAUGUUCCAACACACACAUGAGCUAUCCACUAUAGACCUGAGUUACAAUUUUAUGUGUUUUGAUUUCUUUCAUGGUGGGCAGGUCUAUGUAUGCAUGUAUAGUCAAAAAAAUACAGAGCGGUCAUAAUAUGUAGAUGCUUUAGCCAGUUGGAAAGGUCAUUGAUUUUUUUUAAUUCUUUAUAAAUUUUGAUUAUUUUGACACCAAACAUGUUUAUUCAUAACAGUUGAAUAACUUGAUUUGACUGUCUGUGCAACUUGCUGGAUAGAGUUGUUGAUUUCUGAGCAAAGGAAGAUUAAAUUAAGGGCAAAAUCCUGAGGUCUGUUUAUUCUCCAAAAGUUAGCAGAGCAAAAUAUAACACUAUAGAUUAAGAAAUUUUUCCUUUAGCUUAACAUCUGUCAGUUUCAGCUUACAAUAAGAGAUGAGAAGCUGCAGAAUUGCUUUACAGUGAUUGAGUAAGGAGUCCUCUGUAAUCUCAUGAAAACUCUAGUCUCCUGAGAACUCCUGGAUGGAUUCAAAAAUUGGAUUAUGUCAUGCCUUUUCAGUCUUCAAACUAUAUUUUUAGAGAGAAUAUUAACUUUGUUUUGCCAUUCUAUUUGAAUGAAAAUGUUGGCCAACUGGUCACCGCCUUUGAAAAAAUAGGAGCCAGGGAAGUCUGCAAUUUGAAUCUCCAAUGUUCAAAAUUUUAGGACCCAUUUUGUAACUCAGGAGUCUCUGCCUAGUUUGGGAGAAAAUGGCCAGCAGAAAAAAGAGACUCAUCUUUUUUUUUUCUAGAAGUAAACAGGUUAUUGGAGUAGGAUUCAAAUAAAAAUUCUUAAAGUGAAUAUAGAAAGAAAACCAGAGACAUUUCUCUUGGGGCUAAUGGACAAAGACCUGGAAAAAAAUAUGGAACUUUGAUGUUAUAUAUGUUAACAGCAGCAAGAUUACUCUAUGUUCAGAAAUGGAAGACUACAUUGACUCCCACGAUAGAGGAAUGGUUACAAAAGCUGAUGGAGCUAGCAGAGAUGGCUAAACUGACUGUACUGAUUAAAGAAAAGAAUACAAACACUUUUACUGCCAUGUGGAAACCGUUUCUAGACUUUGUGCUUGAGGUUGAAAAAAAUGAAAUUUUGAUUUUGGGUUUUACCAAUUAGAUAAACUUGAUGUAAUCGAAAUGGCUAGUUUAUAUUAUUUUGUAAAAGUAAAAAGUUAAGGUUUGAAGUUGAUAUUCUACUUUGCUGCAGCAAAGGAAGUCGGAAAUCAAUGCCUUUCUUUCUUUCUUUCUUUCUUUCUUUCUUUCUUUCUUUCUUUCUUUCUUUCUUUUUUCUUCCUUAUCUCACUUCUCUAUUCCCUUUUCCCUUCCCCAUCUUUUCCACUAUUUAUUUUUAUAUUUUCAUUGUAUCGUAUACUAUAAACUAAUAACACUUUUAAAUGAGAAAAUAAACAGAUGAGUUUGUUCCUCGCCA